CGACAGUCUGAGCCAUACCCGAG
rnacentral:siRNA from 1 species